rnacentral:rRNA from 1 species
UGGGGAAUUUUGGACAAUGGGCGAAAGCCUGAUCCAGCAAUGCCGCGUGUGUGAAGAAGGCCUUCGGGUUGUAAAGCACUUUUGUCCGGAAAGAAAUCCUUGGCUCUAAUACAGUCGGGGGAUGACGGUACCGGAAGAAUAAGCACCGGCUAACUACGUGCCAGCAGCCGCGGUAAUACGUAGGGUGCAAGCGUUAAUCGGAAUUACUGGGCGUAAAGCGUGCGCAGGCGGUUUGCUAAGACCGAUGUGAAAUCCCCGGGCUCAACUUGGGAACUGCAUUGGUGACUGGCAGGCUAGAGUAUGGCAGAGGGGGGUAGAAUUCCACGUGUAGCAGUGAAAUGCGUAGAGAUGUGGAGGAAUACCGAUGGCGAAGGCAGCCCCCUGGGCCAAUACUGACGCUCAUGCA